rnacentral:rRNA from 1 species
AGCGAACGCUGGCGGCAGGCCUAACACAUGCAAGUCGAACGAACUCGUCGUACUUAGGUGCGGACGUGUGGUUGCCACCGGGGAACUAACACUUUAGUUCCGUGUAACUCACUUUGACUUAACCUCAUAACACUUGUGCCCAUCCCGGGUAAGAGCUAUCGCCAUUUGAGCGGCCCGCGUCAGUUUAGCCGGUUGGUGAUGUAACGGCUCACCAUGGCGACGUUCAGUAGCUGGUCUGAGACGAAGACCAUCCACACUGGGACUGAGGCACGGCCCAGACUGCUACGCGAGGGAGCAGUGGGGAAUCUUGCGCAAGGGGGGAAAGUCUGACGAAGCCAUGUCGGGUGAAUGAUGAAGGUCGUAGGAUUGUAAUAUUCUUUCAGCGGGGGCGAUAAUGACGGUACCCGGAGAAGAAGCCCCGGCUAACUACGUG